GAAGGGGUCAAAGAUUUAUCGCUUUGAGAGGGGCUCGCGUCCCAUUAGAUAGUUGGUGAGGUAACGGCCCACCAAGUCCGCGAUGGGUAGCCGAGCUGAGAGGCUGAUCGGCCACACUGGAACUGAGACACGGUCCAGACUCCUACGGGAGGCAGCAGUAGGGAAUAUUGGGCAAUGGGCGCAAGCCUGACCCAGCAACGCCGCGUGAGGGAAGAAGGUUUUCGGAUUGUAAACCUCUGUCCUAUGUGACGAAGGAAGUGACGGUAGCAUAGGAGGAAGCCCCGGCUAACUACGUGCCAGCAGCCGCGGUAAUACGUAGGGGGCGAGCGUUGUCCGGAAUUACUGGGCGUAAAGGGUGCGUAGGCGGCACGGUAAGUUGGAUGUGAAAUACCCGGGCUUAACUUGGGGGCUGCAUCCAAAACUGCUGAGCUUGAGUGCGGGAGAGGAAAGCGGAAUUCCUAGUGUAGCGGUAAAAUGCGUAGAUAUUAGGAGGAACACCGGUGGCGAAGGCGGCUUUCUGGACCGUAACUGACGCUGAGGCACGAAAGUGUGGGGAGCAAACAGGAUUAGAUACCCUGGU
rnacentral:rRNA from 1 species